UGGUAACUAAACGAAUUUAGUAACUUAAACGAAAUAAAACCAGAAAUUUAAACAUAUAAAUAUAUAUAUAGAUCGAAAAGACAUAGUUAUAUCUUACAUAAGGGAAAAUGGUCUUUCCGACUUACGACAAGCACUUUACCAUUAGAGUUAUAGCACAUCGGACCCUACUAUAUACAUAACAAAAGAGGGGGCCCGAUUUAUACGUAGUCUAGUCUAAUCAUCAUCAUCCUCCGAAGGGAGAAUCAUGUAGAAAAUAGCAAGAACGGUGUCCAAAAUCCUAGUAAGAAGUAAACAUAGGUAAAACCACAUAACCAACAUCAAAACAAUCGAAAGUUCUUCCAUAUGAGUAAUCUGGCCGGAGUCUCUUGUCAACACUGAAUCAACCCGAUUCGUCGAACUACCUUAAUUAUCUGCAAAAUAAACAGAUCUGUGUGAGCCUUUAUAGACUCAGCAAGAAUUUCGAAUAUUAACGAACUAUAAUUAAGAAUCGAACGGCAUAACAUAUAUAGAUAUAAGUUGCUUGUAUAAUCGGGUCAGCACAAUAAAAUCGUAUAAAUAUUACAACUUUUGUAGUUAUAACGAUUCUAUAGUUUUUAUAAUCUGCAUGUUAGUUUCUUUCCUUCUUUAAUCCCCAUGACUCCUUAAUCUGCAAGAAUAUUCAUAUAACAAACAUAGAUGACAUAUAUGGAAAUAUAAUUUGGAUCCAUUGGGAAUUCAAUCAGAACAUCAAUAAUAAACGUCAAUUUCUGAACCCGAUCGACGUGGAAUCAAACCACACAUUUUUAUUCUAUAGUUAGAGCACCGGUCCCCCAUGCUCGUGUUUAUUCAAUAUCUACUCUGAGUGAUUUCCCAAUAUUUUUGAGUUUUCGAAAAAUGAUGCAAAUGGUUAGACAAACGAUCAUCAGUCUUAUUAUUACCUUAAU
rnacentral:lncRNA from 1 species